CCCUUUCCGGGCUCUGCAGAUGAGCCCUGGCAGCCCUCCCCUGGCCGUCUGGACCCAGGCCUGCCUGUCUUGGUGCAUUUUAGGACAUUAAGUCUGGCUGGAACCUGAGAGCGUCAGCCAUGCGGGGAGUUUCCCUACAGGAACCCUGUGUUGCCUGCCACCAGGGAAGGCGUCCCUUUGCUGUGUCUUCAUCUUCCACUGUGGUUGCGAGGCCUUCCCCAGCCAUGUGAAACCGGACGAGGUCUUGCCACGUUGCCCGCGCUGGUCUCGAACUCCUGGACUCAAGCAAUCCUCCUGCCUCAGCCUCCCAAAGUGCUGGGAUUAAAAUGAUGGGAUUUCACCAUGUUGGCUGGUGUUGAACUCCUGACCUCAAGUGAUCCACCCACCUCGGCCUCCUAAAAUGCUGGGAUUACAGGUGUGAAACACUGUGCUUGGCUGUAAAAUGUUUCUUAUUAGACCUAAAAGGGUGCCUGGCUCUUAGUUGAUUAUCUGCUGGUUCUGGAAAGGAAGGAGAAAAAAAAAGGCAGGGGAAAGAGGAUUCUUUAUAGAAUGUGGAUUUUUCCUGCAAGGGACGGCUUUGCAGGGCCAUUUCAAGAUAUGGCAGAGACACGUGUGCACGUGUCUUUAUAGCAGCAUGAUUUAUAAUCCUUUGGGUAUAUACCCAGCAAUGAGAUGGCUGGGUCAAAUGGUAUUUCUAGUUCUAGAUCCCUGAGGAAUCGCCACACUGGCUUCCACAAUGGUUGAACUAGUUGACAGUCUCACCAACAGUGUAAAAGUGUUCCUAUUUCUCCACAUCCUCUCCAGCACCUGUUGUUUCCUGACUUUUUAAUGAUCGCCAUUCUAACUGGUGAGAGAUGGUAUCUCAUUGUGGUUUUGAUUUGCAUUUCUCUGAUGGCCAGUGAUGAGCAUUUUUUCAUGUGUCUGUUGGCUGCAUAAAUGUCUUGUUUUGAGAAGUGUCUGUUCAUAUCCUUCAUAUGUUUAUUGUGGCACUAUUCACAAUAGCAAAGACUUGGAACCAACCCAAAUGUCCAACAAUGAUAGACUGGAUUAAGAAAAUGUGGCACAUAGACACCAUGGAAUACUAUACAGCCAUAAAAAAUGAUGAGUUCAUGUCCUUUGUAGGGACAUGGAUGAAGCUGGAAACCAUCAUUCUCAGCAAACUAUGGCAAGGACAAAACACCAAACACCACAUGUUCUCACUCAUAGGUGGAAAUUGAACAGUGAGAACACAUGGACACAGGAAGGAGAACAUCACACACUGGGGCCUGUUGUGGGAUGGGGGGAGUGGGGAGGGAUAGCAUUAGGAGAUAUACCUAAUGUUAAAUGACCAGUUAAUGGGUGCAGCACACCAACAUGGCACAUGUAUACAAUAUGCAACUAACCUGCAGGUUGUGCACAUGUACCCUAAAACUUAAAGUAUAAUAAAAAAAUAUGGCAGAGAAAUGUGUUUUGGGGGUAAAAUAUUUUGAUUUUCUUCCUUGUCAUGCCAGAGUCAGAUGGGAAAGUAAGUCACGAUCUACAGGGUUAAAUAAAACCCAUCUGAUGAGAAUAUAUUAUGGUUUGUAUGGCAUGACUCCCCCGCCAGACCCCUUAGAUAGGAAUUUAGGCAAGAUAAAAAAAAAAUAAUCAGAGCUUCGUCCUCACACACAAGGCUUCAGUAGGAUGUGUUGGUGCCCCGGCCACAUGAUGGACGCAUAGCAAGUCCCAGCUGCUGUGAGUCCUGGCUGCUAAUGGCUCCUGGCUGUCCCCUCCUCAUCGGAAUUUCCCUGGGCUGGUGGAUGCCAAUUCAGCAGAGAAGCCUGGAUGGUGAACUGAUUUCUCAUUAGAGCAGACAGCCCGUGACUAAUAGGACAGAGCCGUAACUCAACCUUCUUCCCCAAACUGGGGCAGCCUGGGGAGGAGGGGCCGUUCUUUCUCCAGGUUUCCCCGGGAGAUCUGGCGGGUGCACCUCGGAUAUCGCUUCUAGGGAAGUUGAGCUAAGACAGGUCAUUUAGGGAUCCUGGAGGCUCCGAAAGAGAGGGUGUCUUCCUUCCAGGCAGCUCAGUCUGAGGGAUCAGACACUUCCAUUGUCUUCCAAGUAUGUGAAUAUCACAGGCAUGUGGGAAAUGCAUGCAAACUUUUUUUUUGAGAUGGAGUCAUGCACCCGUCCACUUUAAACCUUUUUGUUUGUUUGUUUUGUUUUGAGACACAGUUUUGCUCUUGUUGUCUAGGCUGGACUGCAAUUGCAUGAUCUUGGCUCACUGCAACCUCCGCCCCCGCCCGGGUUCGAGUGAUUCUCGUGCCUCAGCCUUCCGAGUAGCUGGGAUUACAGGCAUGUGCCACCACGCCCGGCUAAUUUUUUGUAUUUUUAGUAGAGACGGGGUUUCUCCAUGUUGGCCAGGCUGGUCUUAAACUCCUGACCUCAGGUGAUCCACCUGCCUCGGCCACCCAAAAUGCUGGGAUUACAGGCGUGAGCCACCAUGCCCAGCCACUUAAAACCUUUCUAAAUGUUAUCUGGGCAAUGCAUUCAUCAAUACAUUAUCAUUGGAAAGGCUGGAAUGACAGGAUCACUAGAACAAACUAUGCCUCUCCACCUCACACCCCGUCUCAAUUGUCCUCCAUUCUCCUGGGAACCUCUGUUAAUUGUUUUUGGUUCAUUCUACCUGCCAAUUAUCUCAAUAUUUUAAUGAAUGCCGCUAUUUUUUUUUCUAGUAGAAUCAUAAAAUAAAGAGUUGUACCACUUGCCUUUUCCCCCUGAAGGAUUUGUCCUGGGGAAACUUCUGGGUCGAUUCCUCUUUGAUUUUCUGCACAGCCUGUGUUACACCGUGGACCAAAGCUCAUUUCACCUGCAGGAGCAUCUGUUUCUUUUCUGACAUCUAAGGAAAGGGAAUCCACUAUUGCCUGGAUGCUGGUGGGAGGCCAGGCUUUGCUCCUUGUUAGACAGACCCGAGGAGGCAGAUACUUGUCUUCAUUGCAUUGCCGUGAAGAUGUGAAGUGAUGAUUUAUGCCUGACCUCAAAGAUGUCUUAUCAGGGACCUUGAAUUCUGAGGGAAGGAUGUAAGAAAACAAAAAAAGUUCAGUAAUUAUUCACGAUGGAAGCAAGAGCACUUCAACAGAGGACUCUGGGGUCUACAGGUAAUUCAACAAAGCUGUGUCCUAAGCAGGCUGUGUAUAAGUGGGGCAUGGCGGGGUAUACACAUGGUGUAUACACAAGGACUUCUUAUCCACCAGCCUUCGUGGGGUUCUACCUAUAAUUCCCUAAUCUUCUCAUCCUUUAUCUGACCUGCCCAAUAUCUAUUAACUUUCUUCAAUCAACUAGAGUCUAUUUCUGUUGCUGGCAACCAACAACUGUACAUAACCCUUAACCAUAAACGUAUAAAUUGAUUCCAAUUCAUUCCCAGUGGUUUGCAAAUCAAUACCAUUUUGCAGCCAAUUCCCUUUACACUGUCUUUGUGCACCUGCGACCUGUAGGCUACACUCCUACACAUUGAAUUGCUGGUUCAAUGGAUGGGUACUUUUUUAAUCUCUCCAAGUAAUGUGUAAAUGGGCCAUCUAGAGUUGAUGUUAC